rnacentral:rRNA from 1 species
CAGAGGGUGCAAACGUUGCUCGGAAUUACUGGGCGUAAAGCGCGUGUAGGCGGUUUCGCGAGUCCGAUGUGAAAGCCCGGGGCCCAACUCCGGAAGUGCAUUGGAUACUACGAAGCUUGAGUGCUGGAGAGGAGAGCGGAAUUCCCGGUGUAGAGGUGAAAUUCGUAGAUAUCGGGAGGAACACCAGUGGCGAAGGCGGCUCUCUGGACAGACACUGACGCUGAUACGCGAAAGCGUGGGGAUCAAACAGGAUUAGAUACCCUGGUAGUCCAUGCUGUAAACGAUGGGAGCUGGGUGUUGCGGGUAUUGACCCCCGCGGUGCCGAAGCCAACGCGUUAAGCUCCCCGCCUGGGAAGUACGGCCGCAAGGCUA